rnacentral:lncRNA from 1 species
AUGUCCAUGCCUAACUAAGGCUAGGCUACCCAAUACCCGCCCCUGACAAUAACCCUAGUACCUAAAAAUAAUACUAACACUACUACCACUAAUAUAUUAUUACUAAUAAUAAAACUAAUAUUAACUACUAAAAAUAAAUAAUAAAUAACUAAACAUAAACUUAAACGAGAGUAUACCUCAAGACUAUCUACGACACGUUGAUGUAGAGUUUCCCUACUCCUGCUCCUACUCGUGCUCCAAAAACGACUACUAACAACACCCAACGGGGUAUCGUAUACGCGGGAUUCUCAAUACUAGAGCGUUCCCGUUAAAAUUUUGGUGUAUCUAAAAUCCUACCAUUUAACUCCUAUAUAUAUGUGAAGCAAGCAGGCACCUCAAUUCCUUUCUGGGCGAUGUGGGACAUUGACGUGCUUGCUAGCUAGCUUGACGUGCUAGCUAGCUAGCUUAGUUAUAUUAAUUCAGCUGCUUCACUCGUUUUUCUUGUAUAACUUUUA